rnacentral:rRNA from 1 species
AUGCAUCCAACAGUCCACAUUACAUCCACCAUAAUACAAACAGAUCUAUGGUUCAAAACAAAUGUUCUGCCGGCAGACUCCCCCAUCCAGGAUCCUACACAGUGCCCCACCACGCCACGAUCCUCCACGAUCAACGCCGCCAUCACGCCACGAACCUCGCCUCGGCUAGCCGCCCCGUCGCCUAAGCCCCUGGUGUCCGCGACGUCCUCGACCCACCUUGCUUCCCUACCUCUCCUCGCCCCGCCGUCCUCGCCACGCCGCCCUCGCCCUGUCCGCGACGUCCUCGACCCGGUGGACAUCCUCAACCCGGCGCGCUACCCUACCUGCGGUGUCAUCACCCCGUGUGGGCAGCAGCAUCUCGACCUGCCAGGGCCACAGUAUAUCAUGAACAAAUUGAGUUGA